rnacentral:snoRNA from 1 species
ACCCAGUGAUGAAACAUUCACAAGUCUUACUUCCUGUCUAGCCUCAGAGCCUGUAAAGGUGAACCCACUGGGGCUGGCUGGGGGAAAAGAGGAAAAUUUGUUCUAGAAAGAACUGUCUGAGGGAU